AGCUGGAACACCCUUCUUCUCCUGCCUUUGGACAUCAGAACUUCAGAUUCUCUGGCCUUCAGACUUCAAGACUUGCACUAGUGGCCCCCUGGGUUCUCAAGGUUUUGGCCGCCUCGGUUGAGAGUUACACCAUCGGCUUCUUUGGUUCUGAGGCCGUUGGAGUUGGACUGAGCCAUGCUACCAGCUUCCCUGGGUCUCCAGCCUGCAGAUUGCCUACUGUGAGAUUUAGCCUCCAUAAUCAC
rnacentral:lncRNA from 10 species